rnacentral:rRNA from 1 species
UACAGAGACUGCAAGCGUUAUUCGGAUUCACUGGGCGUAAAGGGUGCGCAGGCGGCCAAGUGUGUCAGGUGUGAAAUCCCGAGGCUUAACCUCGGAACUGCGCCUGAAACUACUUGGCUAGAGGUACUGGAGAGGGUAACGGAAUUCACGGUGUAGCAGUGAAAUGCGUAGAUAUCGUGAGGAACACCAGAGGCGAAGGCGGUUACCUGGACAGUUACUGACGCUCAGG